rnacentral:rRNA from 1 species
UUACGCCUCAUAUCAAGCAAGACUACCCGCUGAACUUAAGCAUAUC